UUCACAUCAUACUACUUUAGCCCCACCGUGAGAACCAAAAAAACACGUACUCGACGAUAUGAUGACGGAGGCGUUGCACCUACAUAUAACGUUUCUGAUGUUCCAGAUAUCUUUGCUCAGAUAGGAAGACUUGCUGGAAAGUUAAAGGAAGUAUGGUGGGAAGAUCAUAGCUAUUGUCGAACAGCUCACAAUUACAUCUUGAGGAAUCUAGAUUAUGUUCAACCUUUUGAAAGACUUUUUGAAAUGCAGAUUCGUGAAACAUAUCCGAAUUUUGAAGAAUCUGACUAUGAGGCUUAUAAAGAGCGGGAUUUCGCUAAUUUGUUAAAAUACUAUGUUCAGAAUGGAUGUGGAAAUGAACCCUUGCCUCUUUGGUUGCAUGAGCUUGUUCAAGAACCAAGAGCGAAGAUCACUACCGCUCCGAUGUACUUUACUUGCGGUUAUACUUUUCAUAUGUACGCACAUAGAAGUUGCAAAGCUACAGAAAAUUAUGGAAUUUAUGUACAAGCUCGUGAUAGCGAUUUCUAUGGCGUUUUGCAACAAAUAUUAGAAGUUGAUUAUCCAGGCCUUCUGAAUCUGAGAUGCGUACUUUUCAAGUGUAACUGGUACGAUCCAUCGGCCCGAGGCGUGCGAGUAAAUAAUUGGGGAGUUGUUGAUGUGAAUGCGAACAGAUCGUACCCCAAAUUUGAUCCUUUCAUCCUAGCAUCACAAGCACAACAAGUGAGCUUUCUGUCCUAUCCUCGUUUAAGGCCAAGACGUGAAAUGUGGUUAUCAGUCAUUAAAGUUAAUCCUCGAGACCGUAUAAUCGGGUUAGUUGAUGAUCAAGUCAUGUUGCAACAAGAAAAUGUCGGUGAAAUUUCUAUUCCAAACAUAUCAACAUAAGAUGUUAUCCACAUUGAUCCACAAAACAGGCAAGUAGAAGAUGUUGAUGAUGUUUCUGAAGAAGAGGGUGAAUUAGACGAAUUCGAAGAGUCCGAUGAUGGAGAAGAUUCUAACGAUGAUAAUGUAAUUUCUAGUAGUUCAGAAAAUGAAUUUGAUUGACCAAUUGUAUUUUUUGUUGUUUUUUUUUUUUAAUAAAAAUUUAUCAAUUUGCGACGUAUUUGCGUUGGAAGUGCGAGUGAAUGCUUACAAUGUCUCGCAAUGUCGUCGUAAGUCCCUCGCAAAAGCCUAUACCCUAAACAUUAUUUGCGAGCGACUUACGAGUAUAACCUACAUUUAAACAUUGCGAGGGAUUUGCGAUUGAUUUGCUAGUGAUUUGCAAGUGACUAGCGAGGGAUUCUUGCUAGUUCUCGCAAAUACGUCGUUACUCCCUCACAAAUUAUAUACCCUAAACACUAAAUGCUCAAACCCUAAGCUUUUGCACAUUGCAAUGGAUUUUUGUGUCUCAAUGUGGAUAACAUCUUCUUUUGAUAGGUUUGCAAUGGAAAUUUUAACAUCUUUCAAGUUGCAACACAACUUGAUCAUCAACUAACAUGAUGAUCCACUAAACCCUAAAGUAGAAGAUGUUGAUGAUGUAUUUGAAGAAGAGCUUGAAUUAGAAGAAUUUGAAUUGUCUGAUGAUGAAGAAGAUUCUAAUGAUGAUAAUGGAAUUUCUAGUAGUUAAGAAGAUGAAUUUGAUUGAGCAAUUGUGGUUUUUCUUGUUUUUUCAAAAAAGAUUUAUCGAUUUGCGAUAGAUAUGCGAGGGAAUGCUUGCAAGGUCUCGCAAAGUCGUCGUUAAUCCCUCGCAAACCUAUACCCUAAACAUUUAAAUAUUGCAAGGGAGUUGCAAGGAUCCCUAGGUAAUCCCUUGCAAAAUCCUAAACCCUAAACACAACUGGAGUCUAGCUUAUCCCUUGCAAUAUUUAAGUAUUUGCGAGGGAUCCCUAGGUAAUCCCUCGCAAAAUCGUAAACCCUACACACAACUGGAGUCUAGCUUAUCCCUCGCAAUAUUUAAGUAUUUGCGAGGGACCCCUAGGUAAUCCCUCGCAAAAUCGUAAACCCUACACACAACUGGAGUCUAGCUUAUCCCUCGCAAUAUUUAAUAUCUUGCGAGGGAUUUGCGAGUGGCCCUAGUUAAUCCCUCGCAAAUCGUAAACCCUAAACACCAAUAGUCUAGCAAAUCUCUCGCAAUAUUUAAUAAGUGUGACAGAGUUGCGAGGGCGCAUAGGUAAUCCCUCGCAAAUUUUGCGAGAGAUUUGCGAGAUUCCAAAAAGUUUAUAUAUACAAACUCAAUCGAGUUUGAGCGAAGCUCAGACCAGUCGCCGACAAAAGCUAAUCUUCUUCUUCCUCCUCCGAUCAAACCAUCUUCUUCCUCUUCCGAUCUGGUUCUUCCUCCUCCGAUCAAACCAUCUUCUUCCUAUUCCGAUCUGGUUUUUCCUCCUCCGGUCAAACUAUCUUCUUCCUCUUCCGAUCUGGUUCUUCCUCCUCCGAUCAAACCCUAGUCCUCUUCCUCUUCCGAUCUGCUUCUCUCGUCUUCCAAUCUUCUUCAAUUGCAAACCCUAAUCUCUCGUCUUUCGAUCUUCUUCUUCAAUCGCAUUCUGAAAGAUGUUUGGAGGCAACGAUUACACAAGAUUUCUGACGGAUCAAGGUUUAGCCUCUCCCAGUGCUUCUAAUCGUCACGGUCCCUCCGGUUCUAACAAUAUAAACCCCGGUUUUCACAAUAACCGCCGUGUAACCUCGCAACCCCUGCAUGUGACGCCUCCUUCUAAUACGCCUUCACCAUCUCAUUCGCAUGGUGGCACUGCGCCGAACCCUGACAUUACUGCAUCUCAACCCGCGCGUUCCUCCUCUACAGUCAUGUCCCAACGUCUCAACAACCUGACUUAGGAGGAGUUACUCGAUAGUCCUGGACGAUCUGGUUUAACUAAACUAGAUCCUCGCCGACCUCCAGGAUCUCUGUGGUUUGACCAAGACUCAUCUGUUGCGGCUACUGUUUAAAGCAUAUUUGAAAGAGAUUUCAAAGAGCCCCAUGCCAAUUGGACACAGACGCCGUCUGCAGUGGUAGACCGUUGGUAUGAAACGUUUGCGGCUACUGUCAAGUCUCUUUGUUUGCCAUUUACAAUAUGUUUUCUUUGCCUUAAUUAAAUAUAGACUAAUCCUUUUUUUUUUGCAAGCAAAUAUACAAUUGGGACCGUUGCUUAAACGAUAGAGUGAGGCAAGAGUUUGAGGACAAGUUGAAGGACA